rnacentral:snoRNA from 1 species
AAGAUCAUACUUCAUAGGAUCAUUUCUAUAGUAUGAUUAGCGAGUUCACUCACCUUAUAAAUCUAGGAAGUAGUGCCACGAAGUAGG